CGAGAAGUAGCACAGCUUGGUAGUGCACUAGUUUUGGGAACUAGGGGUCGCAGGUUCGAAUCCUGUCUUCUCGACCA
rnacentral:tRNA from 3 species